rnacentral:rRNA from 2 species
UGGGGAAUAUUGCACAAUGGGGGGAACCCUGAUGCAGCGACGCCGCGUGAGCGAAGAAGGUUUUCGAAUCGUAAAGCUCUGUCCUAUGAGAAGAUAAUGACGGUAUCAUAGGAGGAAGCCCCGGCUAAAUACGUGCCAGCAGCCGCGGUAAUACGUAUGGGGCGAGCGUUGUCCGGAAUUAUUGGGCGUAAAGGGUACGUAGGCGGUUUUUUAAGUCAGGUGUGAAAGCGUGAGGCUUAACCUCAUUAAGCACUUGAAACUGGAAGACUUGAGUGAAGGAGAGGAAAGUGGAAUUCCUAGUGUAGCGGUGAAAUGCGUAGAUAUUAGGAGGAAUACCGGUGGCGAAGGCGACUUUCUGGACUUUUACUGACGCUCAGGUACGAAAGCGUGGGGAGCAAACA